rnacentral:rRNA from 1 species
AGAGUUUGAUCMUGGCUCAGGAUGAACGCUGGCGGCGUGCCUAACACAUGCAAGUCGAGCGGAGUUUUAUUUGAGCUUGCUUAGAUAAAACUUAGCGGCGGACGGGUGAGUAACGCGUAAGGAACUUGCCUUUUGGACUGGGACAACUGUUGGAAACGACAGCUAAUACUGGAUAUUAUGAGAUUCUCGCAUGGGGGUCUUAUGAAAGCUAUAUGUGCCAAAAGAGAGCCUUGCGUUCCAUUAGCUAGUUGGUGGGGUAAAGGCCUACCAAGGCGACGAUGGAUAGCCGGCCUGAGAGGGUGAACGGCCACAAGGGGACUGAGACACGGCCCUUACUCCUACGGGAGGCAGCAGUGGGGAAUAUUGGACAAUGGACCGAAAGUCUGAUCCAGCAAUUCUGUGUGCACGAUGAAGGUCUUCGGAUUGUAAAGUGCUUUCAGUUGGGAAGAAGAAAGUGACGGUACCAACAGAAGAAGCGACGGCUAAAUACGUGCCAGCAGCCGCGGUAAUACGUAUGUCGCAAGCGUUAUCCGGAUUUAUUGGGCGUAAAGCGCGUCUAGGCGGAAAAGAAAGUCUGAUGUGAAAAUGCGGGGCUCAACUCCGUAUUGCGUUGGAAACUGCUUUUCUAGAGUACUGGAGAGGUGGGCGGAACUACAAGUGUAGAGGUGAAAUUCGUAGAUAUUUGUAGGAAUGCCGAUGGAGAAGUCAGCUCACUGGACAGAUACUGACGCUGAAGCGCGAAAGCGUGGGGAGCAAACAGGAUUAGAUACCCUGGUAGU